rnacentral:rRNA from 1 species
ACUUUCAACAACGGAUCUCUUGGCUCUCGCAUCGAUGAAGAACGUAGCGAAGUGCGAUAAGUAAUGUGAAUUGCAGAAUUCCGUGAGUCAUCGAAUCUUUGAACGCAAAUUGCGCUCUCUGGUAUUCCGGGGAGUAUGCCUGUUUGAGGGUCA